rnacentral:rRNA from 1 species
AGAGUUUGAUCAUGGCUCAGAAUUAANNCUGGCGGCAUGCCUAACACAUGCAAGUCGCACGAGAAAGCCCCUUUCGGGGGGCAAGUACAGUGGCGCACGGGUGAGUAACGCGUGGAUAAUCUACCUCUAUCUGGGGGAUAACGCACCGAAAGGUGCGCUAAUACCGCAUAUUCCGGCAGUUUUGCGAAUCAGUCGGUAAAGAUGGCCUCUUCAUGAAAGCUAUCGGGUGGAGAUGAGUCCGCGUCCCAUUAGCUAGUUGGUAGGGUAAUGGCCUACCAAGGCGACGAUGGGUAGCUGGUCUGAGAGGACGAUCAGCCACACUGGAACUGGAACACGGUCCAGACUCCUACGGGAGGCAGCAGUGAGGAAUAUUGCGCAAUGGGGGAAACCCUGACGCAGCGAUGCCGCGUGGGUGAAGAAGGCCUUCGGGUCGUAAAGCCCUGUCAAGCGGGAAGAACAGCCUUGGGACGAAUAAUCCCGGGGCCUGACGGUACCGCUGAAGGAAGCACCGGCUAACUCCGUGCCAGCAGCCGCGGUAAGACGGAGGGUGCAAGCGUUAUUCGGAUUUAUUGGGCGUAAAGAGUGUGUAGGCGGCCGGUCAAGCCAGAUGUGAAAGCCCAGGGCUUAACCCUGGAAGUGCAUUUGGAACUGGUUGGCUUGAGUUCGGGAGAGGGAAGUGGAAUUCCGGGUGUAGAGGUGAAAUUCGUAGAUAUCCGGAGGAACACCGGUGGCGAAGGCGACUUCCUGGACCGAAACUGACGCUGAGACACGAAAGCGUGGGGAGCAAACAGGAUUAGAUACCCUAGUAGUCC